GCAAGAAACACCUGACUGGAUCUCUGGAUGCAGCAAAAAAAGGAGAGAAAGCUAGCAAGUAUUUUUGGCUACCUACAGAAGCAGGAGGAACAUCUCUGAGGCAUAACAGGCAAAAGGAGAUGUAUGACUGCUGCAGAGGAAGACACAGCCCAGCAUCUCUGACAACUUCAGGAUGACAACUCAAGCUUGCAAGGGUCACUGCUGUCCCAGGCACCACUUCAGAAUCCAAAACCCCUUCUACGAGCAUGGGGGAAUGGAUCAACUCCCCUCAGAGAUAUUCUCUGACAAUAAGUGCACUUAAACUUCUGAUGUGCUCAGACGCAGGGAGACAGAAGCCGGGACAGAAGGAUACAUCUCUCCUGCAAGGCACUGGAGCAUAGCAGCCCAGCAGGCUCUUGCCUUCAGCUAGGAGAAUGCCCUUGUAAUGUUCUCCCUGUUAAAAUCUUUAUGCUUUGA